CUACAAGUUUGAAGGCCACUCCUUAACUUUCUACCCAGAUCUGUCCAAGGCCAUGUUGGACUGGCGGAGAGACUUGCAGCCCCUAACUAAGGAGUUAAGUGCCAAACAAGUGGGGUUCUCCAUGAUGCCUGAUCAUCCCUAGAGACUCUAGGACUUUAAGGGUUACAGAUGCCUCUGAGACCACUACUGGUCUUCACACGCUGGGACUGCCAACUGACACAGCAGAGUCGCAUCCUCCAACGACUGCACUAACGCAGAGAUCCUGGGACCCUGACAGGGUUCGUCCGUUUGUCCCAGCUGCACUGAGACGG